CUUGGUUCUACUAUUUAAAGGGAAACAAUAUGGUAAAACAUUAUUACUCCAUAAAACAAUCAAGCGUGAUGGAGCUAUAUAUGAACAUAAAACAAGUCCGGCCGGAUAACUUGGACAAAUAUAUUUUAUAGCGUGCCAACAUCCGACAGAUAAAUAUAAUUUGAUUUGCUUUAUUUCUUCAGGACAAGUGAAAUAAUACGAAAUACACUUUACAUUUUACAUCCUUGAUAAUGGUUUUUAUUAUAACACCGAAGUCGGAAUCAAACAAUUAACCAUUUAUGUGC